rnacentral:lncRNA from 1 species
UUUUUUCUUUUUUUGCUUUUUAGGCCCACACUCAUGGCAUAUGGAGGUUCUAAGGCUAGGGGUCCAAUCAGAGCUGCAGCUGCCAGUCUACACCAUAGCUCACAGCAACACCGGAUCCUUAACCCACUGAGUGAGGCCACGGAUCGAACCUGCAACCUCACGGUUCCUAGUCAGAUUUGAUUCCACUGAGCCACAAUGGGAACUCCAUAAGAGUAUUUCUUGAAGUUGUGGAUGAAAGAGCAAUGAACACUUUGUGCUGUCCCUUGGAACAAACCUGCUGCUUCCCUGCCACCCCACAGAGGGUCUGUCAGGGCAGCCUCACCCCUGCCAGUGGAUUUUGUGAGUGCCAUGCCCACCUUUGCACAACUGCUCCCAGUCUCCCCAGUACCCAUCCUGACAUUGGGAGCAUGUGAGACCCUCAAAUCCUUCCUGGCAGGGGCACUGCCCUGUGACCUGAAGGAGGAGAGCAUGGCCGGUCAGCAGAGACAAAGAGCCUCCUGUGGGGAGGGAGAAGGACAUGCGCACUCAGAGGCAGCACACAGUCCUCCUUUCAGCCCUACUCUUGCUUGGGCUGCACCCAAACCCCCGCUUGGCUGAAGGCUUCUCCCUUCCUGCUCCCUUUGGUCUGACUCCCUUUGGCCGGCCCCCACACUCCCACAUUGUCAGCCUCACCUCCCACAGACCAGCCCCUUGGGUUCUCAACUACUGACCUGCUCCUCUGUGUCCCGAGUCAAGCGCCCCACUGUCUCCACACCCUCACUCCCUGACUCCCACCCUCUCCUCACCAAGGACCCAAGGACACACUUCGGACUUCAUCUCCUUCAGUCACUGACCUUUCUUCUGGGAACACUUGCUUCUCAUGGCCAUCCAUCUCUGCUUCUACCAGCUCUCCAUCCUCACCCUCCACCCUGAAUCCUUCCACUCUGUCUCCUCAGCCUCCAUCCCAGUUCCACUCCUGCCCCACACCUGCCAUGCACAGUCGCCUUUGCUUGCUCUGACCCACUCACAGUGCUUCUCCUACACCUAAUGCGUGGCGGUAUGCAGGUUGGGCCCAUGUAGUCUCAUGCCUGCUCAUAGUUAAUGUCACACAAGAACACAGACACACGGCUGUCUGCAGCCACACACAUCAGUGCUGGUGAUCAAUUAACACUUGCAUCAGCCAUAAAUCACACCCUGUCAUCAGACACACACUCACUUACACCUGGCCAUUGCCACAUGCUAUGGGCAACAUGGGCUCACUCACUGGGUGACACACCUGCUGCAAAAUGUGUUGCACAUGGCAGCUGCAGGGCUCGCAGCCCCGGGGCCUCCCCAGGUUCCAGAAGAGGUGGGUACAGUGGCUAAAGUCCUGCCCCAGCAUGUGGGGGCAGCAGGGGCACCACCUACUGACCUGGUUGCAAAAACAGGUUUCAGCCCCAGAUAGGCACCUUGCCCCAGGGGUCACAGCUGCAGCCAGGGGAGAAGAAGGGCUUGACAGGGUCUGAGGAAAGGGAGCCCACCCGCCCACCUUAGGAUGUCCUCACCCAUCCCACCCACACACUCACGCCUGGGUGCAGGGCACUGCUGUGGAAGCCAGGCCUGCAGUAAGCAUGGCCAGGGCUGUGGCUGUGGUACAGACAAUGCUGAUGCAGUGCCCACUGUGGGAGUUACAGGCACCCAGAUCAUGUGGAUCAAUGUUGUUGUUAUACUGGCAGGGCCAACAUGGACUCCUUCUGGCAUCUCCUCCUGGCCAAGGGAACCCAAAGUAGCAGAGGAGCAGUGGUCACAGUAGAGGCCUGGAGUGGGUUGGGAUAUGUGUGGAGGAUAUGCCUCAGGUGUUUUCCAGUACCUUUGGAGUCCCUGGAUCCCACUUAACCAGCCAGAAAGUCUGAGGUCCAUCCAGGAGGGCAGAGAAUACAACAGCUACAUUAUGGUCCACCUUUUUGGCUUACAAGUUCUAUGUCUAUAAUUCCUCAAGAACGGGGAGCUCCUUGAGGAGAGGUGCCUAGACUGCAGCCCAAGACACAGGAGGCACUGGCAAAGAUUUGCCUCCUAGACCUGAAGGGAUUGUGAACCAGACAGCAGGGCCAUGGGUUUGUCACAGCCAACUAUGCCUCACUUACAUAGCCAGGGGCACAGAGGCACAGAACACAUCCACUUGUGCUGCCACAUGUCAGGAAGUCCCAGGCUCAAGACAGAGGUAGGGCUGGCACUGCUGGCCUAAGCCCAGGGCGGGGUCUCUGUAGUAGCCAUCCAAGCACCCGGGGGCAGUAGCACAUGGAAUGGGGCCUCACCCUCUCAUCACAAUUCCUCCCCAAUUCUGCCAGUGCCAGCCUCACCUCUCACAGUGCCGGCCCGUGGUGGCUUAGUGGCGGUCCUGGCAGAAUGAAUAGGUGGAACAAAUCAGCAUGCCUGUUACAGGCACACGGCUGACAGUGGGGGAAGCCCCACCAGCUGGGGAGGCAUUAGUCAGAGCAGUGACCAGCAAAGCCUGUCCAGUAUGUGCACUGUCCCCACACAGGGUUACAGAUGGCACUGUUGGCACCUUUGGUGUGGGAGUGACACUCUGAGAAAUGGCAGGGUGAGCAAGCCAUGCAGAGAAAGGAGAUGACUGGUCCCAGAUCACAUAUCCACUGGCCCUGAAGGCUCACCACUGCAGCUGGUGGGCCCGAAGCCACAUGGUCCAGGCAUGCAGUGGUCACAAACAUGACCAACAACAUUAGGACAGCAGGGGCACUGCCCACCCAGUAAGGCACACUCAGUGCUCAGUGAACCCUGGGGGUGGCAUUCACAUGUUGGCAGGAGAAAAGGCAAGACCAGAUGAACCUCAUGAUGCCUCCUGCAAUCCCCAUCCUUCAGCACCCUCAAGUUAGGGCCACAUACUCACCAGAGCCACCCCCAUGGAGCAGUGCUGAGAUGCUGCAGAUGAGGCAGACCCAGGACUCAGGUAUGGUGCUGGAGAGGCUCACCCACACUGCCUCCAUGCAGCCCACCCUGUGGAGUUCCUGCAAUUGCCCAGUGGUGCCAGGGUCCACAGAUCUCAGUCCGGGCAACUCUUUCACCAGUGGCAGGAGCAUGAGCUAGUAAGAAGGCAGAGGGUGGUGGGUAGGGGCUAGUGGGCCCAGCUCCAUUCACUAACAUCUACACUGGAACUUCCUCAUGUGGCCCUCACAGUUCCUGCCUGACCCUUUCCUGUUUCUCUUUGAAGUCUGUUUUUCCUUCCCCUCCAAUGGCCCCAAUCUAGUCCAGGCAAUGUCACCUCUCACUCAGAAUCAUGGCAGCAGCCUCCCCCUAACAAUCCAUUCUCUCCAUCUUGUUCCUGCUCAAAUCCCUUCCUUUGAGGUCUGGUCCCUGCCUGUCUCACAGUCUAUCCUUGGCAUGUGCUUCUCCCCUGCAUGGAUAUCCCUUCCUACACUCUUCAUCUGCCUCAAUCUUCUUGGUGUAACUCUAGGCCUCCAUGACCCCCUGUCCCUUGGACCCAUGGCAUCCAUAUUGUCCUAUCAUUUUUGUACCCCCAGAGGUGGAGUGAAGCCCCUAGGAUCUCACUGAAUCCAGAAGGAUGGUGCUGCCACCACCCCACCCCCAGGUCUCCACACCCCCUUGGUCUGCCACAGCUGCAGGGUCAUGGAGUAGCAUGUUCCAGGUUCGAAGCAGAAAGUCUGGAUAGAACUACAGCUCUGCAGGGAGGGAGGAGAGGAGUAAGGGUGGGGUAAGGAGGUCAUGAUCAUGUGGUCCCAGGAAUACCCAUUUCCAUUGUGCAGAUAUGGGGCCCAACAUUUUAUCAUUCAACUAAUGGAAAAAGACCAACUUCUUAAACCCUGUUUUUGUUUUUGUUUUUUUUAGGGCCACAGCAUAUAGAGGUUUCCAGGCUAGAGGUCGAAUCAGAGCCAUGGCUGCCAAGCUACACCAUAGCCAUGCCAGAUCUGAGCUGCAUUCUCUUGCAGCAAUGCUGGAUGCUUAACCCACUGAGUGAAGCCAAGGAUCAAACCCAUAUCCUCGUGGAUACUAGUCAGGUUCUUAGCCAGCUGAACCACAAUGGGAACUCCCUGCUCUGUUUUAAAUUAGGCCUUUGUGUGAUUGUUCUAUGACAUGAUGCUGUACCAUGUUGGGUGUUCUCCACUUUGGGUAACGUUCCAAAUGUGUUGGCUAUGUAGUAGGGUCUUGGUACUAGGGGUCACAGGGUAUGCCUAGGCUUAAGGGUCAGCAAUCAUAGAGCUGCCCCUACCCACCACCCAGAACCACUCAUCCACUUGCCUGGUACCCACUGACCUGGGUCUCUUAGCGUAGGACAAUGUCGUACUCCAGGAUACGAGGCACUGUGGGUGCCAGCAGAGAGAGGCCGGUGCCAUCAACCACAUGUGCAAAGUCCGAGCCAGUCCACAGUGGGGAGCCAGCUCCCAGAUACAGGGGCAGAGGCCCCUUUGGGGCCUGGAUAUGAGGCACAAACUCCCAGGCCCAGAGCACUCCAGGACCUAGGACUCUCAGGAUUUAGGUUCCCAUUCCUCUAAGACUUCAGAAACCCAAAUCCCCAGGGCUUGGGCCCCAUCCUUACUAAGACCUAGUGACCUGUGACCCAACCCUGUUCCUCAGACUCCUCACCUUGGGCAGCUAUUGACUAUAACGGGCUCACUUGGCAGAACGGAGGACACAUUCAGGGUCACGCUGUCUCUGAAGUUGGGGCCUGAGCCAACUGGGGGAAGUCUCUGGGGCUUGUGUACAGUGGGGAGGAGCAGGCCAGGGGGCUCCCUGGGGGCAUUCAGGUGUCAGUGUCCUCCAACAUCCUAGCCCUGUCCUCUUCCACCCUACUCUGGGGAUAUGGGCUCUUUCCAAGACACCAAUCUUCUAACCAUGCUGAUACCACCCUAUCUGGACUUGCCUCAUCUUCCUAACCCUGUCCAGCCUCUUCUACCAACCAGCUCACUCUGGACACUCCCUCCCCCUGAGUCCUGAGGUAUGAGCCUUGACUUCUUCCUGCCCCUGCUCCUCCUGAACACUCACAGGCAGCCAGGGGUUGGUAGGCUGGAGGCCCUGGCUAAGCUCAGCUUCAGUAGUGGCCUGGUUGAGGGCAGCGCAGAAGAACCCAGAUUGGAGAUCAUGGCAGUGGCAGCCGUAGAGGUGGGGGCAGCACAGGCAGAAGCCCUCCUCUGCAGAACACCCAGGCCAGUGUGGGAGUAGGGAGGGGACAGAGUCAAUUCCAAAUUCUUGUCACCUGACCCAGACCCUCAGGCCCUGCCUUGUAUCUUUUGCUGUGGGCACCCCCAAAGUCACAGUCACAGGGCUGACAGCCUAGAGUCAUGGAUCAGACCCCAGAACUUGGGGCAUAAGAGAGAGUAGGGGUUGGAGGAAGGACAGCAAGAAGAGACGGUUCAGGGGCCUGGAAAUCUGGAUACUGGGUCCACUUGUUGCAAGGAGAAGAGGGGUGAGUGCAGGGCUUGAAUGCUCUAAUGUCUCCAGCUGAGAAGGAGAGAAGAGACACUGGUGUACUCUUGCACAGGCUCAUGGAGAGGAGGGAAGAGGUAAGAAGAUGAGGACACGCUAAGGGGUGAAAUAAAGGUUAAAGGAUUUGUAAUGUUCAGGGAGAGGCAUGAGUAUUCCUUCAAAUACAUUUGCUGUGAAACACCUUUAAACUCAGUGCAUAAUACUGUUGUAACUCCUUUAAAUGCUUUUCUUCCUUUUGUUCCCCAAACUCCCACCUGAGGGCAGGUAAUGGUUCAGCUAGCCAAGGUGACACUGAUUCUAGAGACCAGGUCAGGAAGUGACACCAACCCAUCUGCAAGGCUCAGUCUACAGGCACACUGAUUACAGCGUUGUCAGCUUGUAGAAGCUCAGUGCCCAAAAUCAAUGUCAAAUCAGAAGGUGAGUCAAGUCUCAUUAGACAAUGGCAUCAGUCCCAACCACAGACAAAGCAUUUGCAGUGACAGCUACCACUGGAAGGAUCAUAGGUGGGGGAGUGCCAGGACCUGGCCCUGGGGAUUGCUCCUGCAGGCUAAGGCACAGGGCUGUUAGAGUGCUGGUGGGACUGCUGCAGGAGUAGGUGUGUGUGUGUUAUUAGGGUAAUUAGGGGCAGAGCAAGGAAGACAUGGAGGUGGAAGUCCAUUCUGAGGGUCACUCACGCUGGCAUCCCUCUGACUGGGUGGGGCUCAGGCCAUAGUGACCAGGCCAGCAGGAGUCACAGCGCUGGCACCAGAUAUGAACUUUGCAACGACACUGCCCAGAGAGGAGGCCUCAGGUUCCAUCUGUGUGGGCAUCACACAAAUCCCCUUCCACGGUACCCACAGGAUCACAGUCACAGGCUGGACCAGUGGUCAGAAGCGAAUACAGUCGGGUGAGACACCACCAACGAAGUUCAAGAGUCAGAGUCAGAAUUGGGACUGGGGGUUGGAGCUCUCACCUUUACAGGAGUGAAGGGACAGGGGAUCCUCUUG